GGAUUCUGUGACAUUUGAGGAUGUUGCCGUGACCUUCACCCAGGAAGAGUGGGCUUUGCUGGAACCUUCGCAGAAGAAUCUCUACAGAGAUGUGAUGCUGGAAACCUGCAGGAACUUCACUUUUAUAGGAAACAAAUGUGAAGAUGAGAAUAUUGAAGACCAUUAUAAAAGCUGUGGAAAAAAUCUAAGGUAAUUAAAAAAAAUAAAGCAAAGUUCCUUUGAAGGAA